UAAUUAUACACCCUGGAACCGUUUAAAAAGUCUUUAAAGUUCGAGGAAGUUUCAAAUGGAAUCAAGAAAAAAACAAUAGUUACUAAAGACCCUUCCCUUCAAAGCGAGUUUAAGCGGAGUCACACAGUCAUGUGUGUGUGGACUGACACGAGGAAGACAGAUGAGUAGAAGAUGACCAAACAUCCCUUUAAGACACGCCGUCUCCUGUCUUCCCCUGAGAGAUGUGCUCGGCGCCGGAGGACUCAGACCUACCUGUGAUUCAGGAGCACAUCUGGCCCACCUGACUAUUACACAUGGUGUGUCUCACUGGCAUCACAGGAGCGCAGCAAGUGUGUGUGUGUGUGUGUGUGUGUGUGUGUGGAAGGAGAAAGACUCGUUGAUGACAUAAACCAGGACCAGCAGAUGGCAGCACCAUACAAAGGCCAAGAAAACUGGUCAAAAGUGUGAUGCAAGGGCACAUGAUAAAGACAGGUCUUUAUUGAGGGGAACAAUGGUGAGGAGUUACAACACAAGAGACCUCCAAAGCAUGUGCAGUACAUGCAGAACUGAAACAGAGGUCAG